rnacentral:rRNA from 1 species
UACGUAGGGGGCAAGCGUUGUCCGGAAUCAUUGGGCGUAAAGCGCAUGUAGGCGGCCAAGUAAGUCGGAUGUUAAAUCCCUCCGCUCAACGGGGGGCCGCAUUUGAUACUGCCUGGCUAGAGAAAUGUAGAGGAAAGCGGAACUACCGGUGUAGCGGUGAAAUGCGUAGAUAUCGGUAGGAACACCAGUGGCGAAGGCGGCUUUCUGGCCAUUUUCUGACGCUGAGAUGCGAAAGCCAGGGGAGC